CAGCAUGAAGCCGCUCUCACCGGAGGGAAGGCUGCCGGGAAGGCUUUGAAGUGAAGGUUCUUCCAGGGAAAUCGGGUGAUGAAUGGGGAACCAAAUUCCCUUUAAUCAACCUGGGCUCUUGUGUUUGGAAAGCCAUCCGUCUUUAAAUCAAUGAGUCAUAAUUGCCUUUAAACCACAUCACGUUUGCAGAUUCAAUGAAAGCUGCUCCUUUCCAGAGCGCAUUCAUCAUCUCAUGAAACGCAAACAAAUCAAACGUUCAGCAAAAACAUGAAAUGAUUUUCUGUUGAUCUAAGCCGUUUUUUUUUUUCUGAAAACACGAUUCCGGGUCUGUAUGUUCAAUUCUCAUGAAGCAAGUCCUCGGAUCCUGCAUCACUGAACUAAAGUAUAUCAAAGUUUGUUUUCAAUAAUCUAAGAUGCUUUCAUUUCCUGAAGAGGACUCUGAAUUUCACUCCUCCUAUGAAUGACAGCUUUACAAUCUUCAUCUGAAGCAUCAGUAUAUUAGUUGAACUGAGUGCAGUUAAUGUGUAGAAAUCAUUCUGGAUCGGUUGGUUUACUGGGUGAAAACUGUUUAUAAAAUGGAAAUCACUGACGGAGCAAGAAGACGUUUUUAACGAGACCAGGAAGAUAAAAACAUUUGUUUGAUGACUUGAAUAAAUCCAGAAGCAGAAAAUCCUGGCUUAACUUAUCCACAAUGGACUAAAGCUGGAUCAUUUUAGCAAAGUCUGGUUUCCAUGGAGACACAUCCAGUGGAGCCUGUGAGGGAUAGCUGCAAUAAAGUAGAUUAAUAAGUUCACAGGUCCCUGAUAUCUACGCCUGGUUGGUCUUACCUGCUCCUCCUUAUCCUGCUGGGACGGAUGUGACAUUCCAUCAGUCAGCAGGAGCUCGGCAGAACAGAUCAAGCUGGAAUCAUUCACCUGUCAUGGAUGUCUAAAUCCUACUUUAGUGUCAAACUCUUCUGUUGUGUGUUGAUACGUGUGAACCUGUUGUUUCUGCUGGUCUUUCUCUAAAGGGUUUAUUAUGUCGA